GGUUAAGCGACUAAGCGUACACGGUGGAUGCCCUGGCAGUCAGAGGCGAUGAAGGACGUGCUAAUCUGCGAAAAGCGUCGGUAAGGUGAUAUGAACCGUUACAGCCGGCGAUGUCCGAAUGGGGAAACCCAGUGCAAUUCGUUGCACUAUCGUUAACUGAAUACAUAGGUUAACGAGGCGAACCGGGGGAACUGAAACAUCUAAGUACCCCGAGGAAAAGAAAUCAACCGAGAUUCCCCCAGUAGCGGCGAGCGAACGGGGAGCAGCCCAGAGUCUGAAUCAGCUUGUGUGUUAGUGGAACGGUCUGGAAAGUCCGACGGUACAGGGUGAUAGUCCCGUACACCAAAAUGCACAGGUUGUGAACUCGAAGAGUAGGGCGGGACACGUGGUAUCCUGUCUGAAUAUGGGGGGACCAUCCUCCAAGGCUAAAUACUCCUGACUGACCGAUAGUGAACCAGUACCGUGAGGGAAAGGCGAAAAGAACCCCGGCGAGGGGAGUGAAAAAGAACCUGAAACCGUGUACGUACAAGCAGUGGGAGCACCUUCGGGUGUGACUGCGUACCUUUUGUAUAAUGGGUCAGCGACUUAUAUUCUGUAGCAAGGUUAACCGUAUAGGGGAGCCGCAGGGAAACCGAGUCUUAACUGGGCGUUAAGUUGCAGGGUAUAGACCCGAAACCCGGUGAUCUAGCCAUGGGCAGGUUGAAGGUUGGGUAACACUAACUGGAGGACCGAACCGACUAAUGUUGAAAAAUUAGCGGAUGACUUGUGGCUUGGGGUGAAAGGCCAAUCAAACCGGGAGAUAGCUGGUUCUCCCCGAAAGCUAUUUAGGUAGCGCCUCGUGAACUCAUCUUCGGGGGUAGAGCACUGUUUCGGCUAGGGGGUCAUCCCGACUUACCAACCCGAUGCAAACUACGAAUACCGAAGAAUGUUAUCACGGGAGACACACGGCGGGUGCUAACGUCCGUCGUGAAGAGGGAAACAACCCAGACCGCCAGCUAAGGUCCCAAAGUCAUGGUUAAGUGGGAAACGAUGUGGGAAGGCACAGACAGCCAGGAUGUUGGCUUAGAAGCAGCCAUCAUUUAAAGAAAGCGUAAUAGCUCACUGGUCGAGUCGGCCUGCGCGGAAGAUGUAACGGGGCUAAACCAUGCACCGAAGCUGCGGCAGCGACACUAUGUGUUGUUGGGUAGGGGAGCGUUCUGUAAGCCUGCGAAGGUGUGCUGUGAGGCAUGCUGGAGGUAUCAGAAGUGCGAAUGCUGACAUAAGUAACGAUAAAGCGGGUGAAAAGCCCGCUCGCCGGAAGACCAAGGGUUCCUGUCCAACGUUAAUCGGGGCAGGGUGAGUCGACCCCUAAGGCGAGGCCGAAAGGCGUAGUCGAUGGGAAACAGGUUAAUAUUCCUGUACUUGGUGUUACUGCGAAGGGGGGACGGAGAAGGCUAUGUUAGCCGGGCGACGGUUGUCCCGGUUUAAGCAUGUAGGCUGGUUAUCCAGGCAAAUCCGGAUAAUCAAGGCUGAGGUGUGAUGACGAGGCACUACGGUGCUGAAGUAACAAAUGCCCUGCUUCCAGGAAAAGCCUCUAAGCAUCAGGUAACAUCAAAUCGUACCCCAAACCGACACAGGUGGUCAGGUAGAGAAUACCAAGGCGCUUGAGAGAACUCGGGUGAAGGAACUAGGCAAAAUGGUGCCGUAACUUCGGGAGAAGGCACGCUGGUGUGUAGGUGAAGUCCCUGCGGAUGGAGCUGAGACCAGUCGAAGAUACCAGCUGGCUGCAACUGUUUAUUAAAAACACAGCACUGUGCAAACACGAAAGUGGACGUAUACGGUGUGACGCCUGCCCGGUGCCGGAAGGUUAAUUGAUGGGGUUAUCCGUAAGGAGAAGCUCUUGAUCGAAGCCCCGGUAAACGGCGGCCGUAACUAUAACGGUCCUAAGGUAGCGAAAUUCCUUGUCGGGUAAGUUCCGACCUGCACGAAUGGCGUAAUGAUGGCCAGGCUGUCUCCACCCGAGACUCAGUGAAAUUGAACUCGCUGUGAAGAUGCAGUGUACCCGCGGCAAGACGGAAAGACCCCGUGAACCUUUACUAUAGCUUGACACUGAACAUUGAGCCUUGAUGUGUAGGAUAGGUGGGAGGCUUUGAAGCGUGGACGCCAGUCUGCGUGGAGCCAACCUUGAAAUACCACCCUUUAAUGUUUGAUGUUCUAACGUUGGCCCCUGACCGGGGUUGCGGACAGUGUCUGGUGGGUAGUUUGACUGGGGCGGUCUCCUCCCAAAGCGUAACGGAGGAGCACGAAGGUUAGCUAAUCCUGGUCGGACAUCAGGAGGUUAGUGCAAUGGCAUAAGCUAGCUUGACUGCGAGCGUGACGGCGCGAGCAGGUGCGAAAGCAGGUCAUAGUGAUCCGGUGGUUCUGAAUGGAAGGGCCAUCGCUCAACGGAUAAAAGGUACUCCGGGGAUAACAGGCUGAUACCGCCCAAGAGUUCAUAUCGACGGCGGUGUUUGGCACCUCGAUGUCGGCUCAUCACAUCCUGGGGCUGAAGUAGGUCCCAAGGGUAUGGCUGUUCGCCAUUUAAAGUGGUACGCGAGCUGGGUUUAGAACGUCGUGAGACAGUUCGGUCCCUAUCUGCCGUGGGCGCUGGAGAAUUGAGGGGGGCUGCUCCUAGUACGAGAGGACCGGAGUGGACGCAUCACUGGUGUUCGGGUUGUCAUGCCAAUGGCACUGCCCGGUAGCUAAAUGCGGAAGAGAUAAGUGCUGAAAGCAUCUAAGCACGAAACUUGCCCCGAGAUGAGUUCUCCCUGAGACUAUAAGUCUCCUGAAGGAACGUUAAAGACGAUGACGUUGAUAGGCCGGGUGUGUAAGCGCAGCGAUGCGUUGAGCUAACCGGUACUAAUGAACCGUGAGGCUUAACCUU
rnacentral:rRNA from 1 species